UUAAAUAUUAGGUAUUAACCCAGGUACUCAGACGACACUAACAUUCAGAUUUUGGGGUCCUCUAGCGGGCACCACCAGCCGGGACUGGUUAGCCCGCUAAAGCAACAUAGAUUGAUACACAAGGGUGGGAGAUCUACCCGUGAGGGCAAGAACUCUAUAAUGAUCCUUCCGCAGGUUCACCUACGGAAA
rnacentral:misc_RNA from 1 species